UGGGGAAUUUUGGACAAUGGGCGAAAGCCUGAUCCAGCAAUGCCGCGUGUGUGAAGAAGGCCUUCGGGUUGUAAAGCACUUUUGUCCGGAAAGAAAUCCUUGGCUCUAAUACAGUCGGGGGAUGACGGUACCGGAAGAAUAAGCACCGGCUAACUACGUGCCAGCAGCCGCGGUAAUACGUAGGGUGCAAGCGUUAAUCGGAAUUACUGGGCGUAAAGCGUGCGCAGGCGGUUUGCUAAGACCGAUGUGAAAUCCCCGGGCUCAACCUGGGAACUGCAUUGGUGACUGGCAGGCUAGAGUAUGGCAGAGGGGGGUAGAAUUCCACGUGUAGCAGUGAAAUGCGUAGAGAUGUGGAGGAAUACCGAUGGCGAAGGCAGCCCCCUGGGCCAAUACUGACGCUCAUGCACGAAAGCGUGGGGAGCAAACAGGAUUAGAUACCCUGGUAGUCCACGCCCUAAACGAUGUCAACUAGUUGUUGGGAUUCAUUCCUUAGUAACGUAGCUAACGCGUGAAGUUGACCGCCUGGGGAUACGGUCGCAAGAUUAAAACUCAAAUGAAUUGAC
rnacentral:rRNA from 1 species